CAGGAAGUAUGUGGAGAACUUAGGAAAGGUGAAGACGUGGAUUAUCUGGAUCAGAAGACAUGAAAUAUAAGGAGAGGUUUUCUCUGGAGUAUCAGAGGCUGAGGAGAGACCUACUAUGCAGCUUGACCUACUGAGUUCCAUCAGCAGAUCGUUUCUUGCCACAGAUUCCACCAUCUGCAGUCUCAUUAUGCUUGACCCACUGAGCUCAUCCAGCAGAUUGCCUAUUGUUUCAUUGUUCUGCUUCAUUGUCUGGCGACGUUCUGAUGUUACCUCCUUGACAGUACACAUCAGAUAUUUCCCCCAAAAUAUUUUAGCUAACAGGCCUACGGUUAUCACCUAUACAUCUCCCUACAUUUUGUGCAUAG